UUUGAUCAUGGCUCAGAAUGAACGCUGGCGGCGCGCCUAAUACAUGCAAGUCGAGCGAGAAGACGUAGCAAUACGUUUGUAAAGCGGCGAACGGGUGAGGAAUACAUGGGUAACCUACCCUUGAGUGGGGAAUAACUAGCCGAAAGGUUAGCUAAUACCGCGUACGCUUCUUGGACUUCGGUUCAGGGAGGAAAGCGCUACCGUGGGUAGCGCGCUCUUGGAUGGGCUCAUGUCCUAUCAGCUUGUUGGUGAGGUAACGGCUCACCAAGGCUUCGACGGGUAGCUGGUCUGAGAGGACGACCAGCCACACUGGCACUGCGACACGGGCCAGACUCCUACGGGAGGCAGCAGUAAGGAAUAUUGCGCAAUGGGCGAAAGCCUGACGCAGCGACGCCGCGUGGGGGAUGAAGGUCUUCGGAUUGUAAACCCCUUUCGGGAGGGAAGAUGGAAUGGGGUAACCCAUUCGGACGGUACCUCCAGAAGCAGCCACGGCUAACUUCGUGCCAGCAGCCGCGGUAAUACGAAGGUGGCAAGCGUUAUUCGGAUUUACUGGGCGUACAGGGAGCGUAGGCGGUUCGGUAAGCCCUUUGUGAAAUCUCCAGGCUUAACCUGGAACAGUCGGAGGGGACUGCCGGGCUAGAGGACGGGAGAGGAGCGCGGAAUUCCCGGUGUAGCGGUGAAAUGCGUAGAGAUCGGGAGGAAAGGCCGGUGGCGAAAGGCGGCGCUCUGGAACGUUUCUGACGCUGAGGCUCGAAAGCGUGGGGAGCAAACAGGAUUAGAUACCCUGGUAGUCCACGCCUUAAACUAUGAAUACUAAGUGUCGGCGGGUUACCGCCGGUGCCGCAGCUAACGCAUUAAGUAUUCCGCCUGGGAGUACGGCCGCAGUUGAACUCAAAGGAUUGACGGGCCCGCACAGCGUGGAGCAUGUGUU
rnacentral:rRNA from 1 species